CGACGGAAUUCUGCACCAACAGGAAUCAAAAUAAGUUAGAGAUCAUUACCAAACAAAUUUUGAUCUUAAUCUCCUUUGAUCCAAUGAUUGAAGAGGGUAUUUCUUAGAUCUCUCAUAGCCACAUGAAGUCAUCUGGACUCUAUAGAAAAAUUCAUGCGAAGACUGACGCAGAUCAGAGACUUGGAGAUGCUAGUCUGCAAGCAACUUCGACAGUUAAUCUUUUUCUUCUUCUACAAGCACCUUGGACACUCCAAAGUAGUAGAGGAUCUGGAUAAGGAAAGGAGGAGGAGAAGAGCCCUGAAAAAUAAAAAAAUAGUAAGAGAAUUGAUCAUGGGACGUCCAAGAGAGGGGACCCCUUUUUAUAGACUAGGAAUUAGAGUUUUUCCAAAGAAGGGUGCCAAUAGUCCAUGCCAAAAUC
rnacentral:lncRNA from 1 species